GUAACACUAACUGGAGGACCGAACCGACUAAUGUUGAAAAAUUAGCGGAUGACUUGUGGCUGGGGGUGAAAGGCCAAUCAAACCGGGAGAUAGCUGGUUCUCCCCGAAAGCUAUUUAGGUAGCGCCUUGUGAAUUCAUCUCCGGGGGUAGAGCACUGUUUCGGCAAGGGGGUCAUCCCGACUUACCAACCCGAUGCAAACUGCGAAUACCGGAGAAUGUUAUCACGGGAGACACACGGCGGG
rnacentral:rRNA from 1 species